rnacentral:rRNA from 1 species
CCUACGGGUGGCAGCAGUGAGGAAUAUUGGUCAAUGGCCGUAAGACUGAACCAGCCAAGCCGCGUGAAGGAAGAAGGUUCUAUGUUUCGUAAACUUCUUUUAUCGGGGAAUAAAGGUAUCCACGUGUGGCCGUUUGCAUGUACCCUAUGAAUAAGCAUCGGCUAACUCCGUGCCAGCAGCCGCGGUAAUACGGAGGAUGCGAGCGUUAUCCGGAUUUAUUGGGUUUAAAGGGUGCGUAGGUGGUUUUUUAAGUCAGCGGUUAAAGUUUGUGGCUCAACCAUAAAAUUGCCGUUGAAACUGGCAGACUCGAGUGUGAUUGAGGUAGGCGGAAUGCGUGGUGUAGCGGUGAAAUGCAUAGAUAUCGCGCAGAACUCCGAUUGCGAAGGCAGCUUACU